GAUGAACGCUGGCGGCGUGCCUAAUACAUGCAAGUCGAGCGAACGGACGAGAAGCUUGCUUCUCUGAUGUUAGCGGCGGACGGGUGAGUAACACGUGGAUAACCUACCUAUAAGACUGGGAUAACUUCGGGAAACCGGAGCUAAUACCGGAUAAUAUUUUGAACCGCAUGGUUCAAAAGUGAAAGACGGUCUUGCUGUCACUUAUAGAUGGAUCCGCGCUGCAUUAGCUAGUUGGUAAGGUAACGGCUUACCAAGGCAACGAUGCAUAGCCGACCUGAGAGGGUGAUCGGCCACACUGGACCUGAGACACGGUCCAGACUCCUACGGGAGGCAGCAGUAGGGAAUCUUCCGCAAUGGGCGAAAGCCUGACGGAGCAACGCCGCGUGAGUGAUGAAGGUCUUCGGAUCGUAAAACUCUGUUAUUAGGGAAAAACAUAUGUGUAAGUAACUGUGCACAUCUUGACGGUACCUAAUCAGAAAGCCACGGCUAACUACGUG
rnacentral:rRNA from 1 species